rnacentral:sRNA from 1 species
CGGCGGCCCACUCUGCGAUCCCCAUACUUCCGGUCGCUCCGCUUCCACUGGGCAUGGGGGGCGGAUCAAUCGACAAAAAGCUGAUGAGCGUGACGGGGAGAUCGACAUAGAUGGAGUUGUUGAGCGUGACGCGGAGUGUGUAGGAAAUGUCGACGAGUUUGGUCCGGCGGAUGGACAGCAGUCCGGUCUAGCAGGCAUGUUAGUUGCUUGGAGUUGGAAAAAUAAAAAGACCAGCGUACAGGAACUUGAAUACUCAUAUCCCAAUGCCCGCUUUCGCCCGGCUCGACACCGGUCCACCACCCUUUGCCGGUGACUCGGCCUGCGCCAUGGGUCGUAAAGUCGCCCUGGACGGCUUCCUCGGCCACUUUUUUCCGCUGCGUCUCUACCGGCUGGUCGGUGUGCGCCGCCGGGGCGGGGGCAAAGGUGCGGACGUCCUGGAGGAGUGCGAGACUGAGGUGUUUGAUCUGCGGCGCAAAGAGUCAGCUGUGCGCCCGAGCACGAGAGGACACACCUUUCGGAGACUGCCGUUGCGUAUGCCCACGUGGCACCACAGGCGCUGGCCGCUGACCCAGGUGGCUCUGCCCAUCGCGACGCGCAGGCGGACGGCGCCCCUGUCGCCGGCGAGACUCCAGCCGAGGCCCUUCUCGGUGGCGGCCUCGAGGGGGGCGGUGCUGGGCGCGAGGGCGCGGGCGGGGUCGAGGCGGGGGAGGAGGACGAUGGGGCGGUAGAAGUGGGCGAUCGAGCGUUUGCGGGUGGCGGGCGCGAGCAGCUUGAGGGACGCCACGAGCACAUAGCGCACGCUCGGGCCGCCACGGUGCGCGGGGGUGAACGUGCCCUUUGCGCCCGCCGCGGGGGGGAGGGGGAAGCAGAACGGGAUGCUGUGUGCCCCCGGGGCGGCAAGCCGGAAGCCGUCGGCGUCGGGCGGGGAGGCGAACAGGGGGGAGGGCGAGUCGAGCGCGCGCGCCUGGUGGUAGAACACGUGCCGCGCCGACGCCAGCUCUGCGAACGGUCAGAUCGGGACACCCCCCCAGCGAUCACUCACCUUCAAACCCCACCACACGCACCUUGCCGCCGCCCACCCGCAGGCCCGCGCUCCCCCGCGNNCACGUCACUCGGCGCCGGCAGCAGUUUGUCCCGCGACAGCCGCCUCGACCGCGCGCCCCCAAGAAGAAUCCCCAGCUCCUGCGACGACCGCUGUGUCCCCGACGCAGGGUGCAGCAGCGUGCCCUGCCGCACCAGCAGUUCCGCCCCGUCAGACAGCGAUCGUCCCCGCUGCUUUGGCGCGUUCGGACGUGGCGCGUUCCGGGGUGCGUGCUGGUGUGGGUGUAGGUGUGAAACGGGGAAAUGGUCCAGUGUGCUUUCGCUCCAUGGUCGGGAAUGUAAUUCGUCGUCCGUGUAUCGCCCGUUUGGUCUUGACCGCAAUUCCACAUCCCUAUAUCGAUAAGAAUCCCCAUACUCACCCGCCGAGCUUGGGGUAGUAUAAGAAGGAUCAAAAAACGAAGGGACAGAGUACAGGUGCAUUGGCUGGGACAUUGACCGCGGCAUGUCCGUCUCUUGAACGGUUUGCUGUAUCCGUAGAGGUGGGUAAGGGAAUGAAUACGUCGCGGUUGUUGAGAGUCUAUCCGUAGCAAGUACGAAUCAAUAGAAUACUCUAGAGUAUUGAGAUGAACCUACCGCUGCUCUUCUUGAUAUCCACCGUUUCCCUCGGAUAACGGCGAACGAAUAAUCUCUCCACCUUUAUCUUCCCCUUCAUCUCCACCCCCCUCUACAUCUCCAAAUUUAUCUUCCCCUUCAUCUCCACCCCCUUCUAGCUGCAUAUACCUCCCCCCCUCUUUAGCCACCCCCCGACGACGCAGGACCUCGCUACUCUUCAUCCUCCCCAUCUUGCCCGCCUUGCUCGACGACGUGUGGUGCGUGGAAGCGGAAAAGGAUGUGCUGGAGAUGACGGAUGCUGAAGACGGUGCGCGCGACGGGGCGAGGUGUUGCGCAGCAUUAGCGUUGGAGCUUGGUACGAGGCGCUGGCGGUCAUCGUUUUCGUUUUCGUCAUUCUCAUCUCUGUACUCCUCACCCUCAUCUCUGUACAUCUCCUCCACCUCGACUCGCAAUCCAUUCUCCCCGCCCGCUCUGUCUCCCUGGUCAAACCCCUUGUCCCCUGAUUCGACAUGCUGAUCUUCAAUCCGCGCAGAGGGAGAGAUACCAACCCGCGGGGAAGAUCGGGGACCAAGAGGUUUGGAAGUACGUAGACUCUUUACCGUUCCCGUCGCUGUGGCCGUGGGCGAAUGAGUAUAGUGGGUGGGCCGCAGGACAAAGUGGUCGGGGUCGUUCGUCUUGACUCUCAAUCUCGUGCUCGCUACCCCGGCCUUGGUCGGCGAUCCUUGACUAUAAGCACCAGCGCGAGCCUGAUCCCGGGGUUCGAGCGGAGGGGAACUGGUAGUGGAUAUCCGGAGCGGGGAAGGAGGGUGGGGAGAGUUGGAAAGUGUUAUUCCCAAACCUUGGGACGGGCUCGGUGGGAGCGGCAUUUGGGUGUAAGAAAUGUUUGCAAGCUAUGGAGCUCCCCUGUUCAAGCUGUCCGGGGGUAGUAUUAUAAAAAAAAAAACAGUAAUCAGAGUAUGUGUAUAGAUUGUAUGUAAAAG